rnacentral:rRNA from 1 species
UACGGAGGGUGCGAGCGUUGUCCGGAAUCACUGGGCGUAAAGGGCGCGUAGGCGGCUUCUCAAGCGUGUGGUGAAAGUCCGGGGCUCAACCCCGGAUCGGCCGUGCGGACUGGGGAGCUCGAGUUCUGUAGAGGCGGGUGGAAUUCCGGGUGUAGCGGUGGAAUGCGUAGAGAUCCGGAAGAACACCGGUGGCGAAGGCGGCCCGCUGGGCAGAGACUGACGCUGAGGCGCGACAGCGUGGGGAGCAAACAAG